rnacentral:rRNA from 1 species
GACGAACGCUGGCGGCAUGCCUAAUACAUGCAAGUCGAGCGAACAGAUGAAGUGCUUGCACUUCUGACGUUAGCGGCGAACGGGUGAGUAACACGUAAGGAAUCUACCUAUAAGCGGGGGAUAACAUUCGGAAACGGGUGCUAAUACCGCAUAAUAUCUUCUUCCGCAUGAAAGAGGAUUGAAAGACGGCUCUGCUGUCACUUAUAGAUGACCUUGCGGUGCAUUAGUUAGUUGGUGGGGUAACGGCCUACCAAGACGAUGAUGCAUGGCCGACCGGUGAGGGUGAUCGGCCACAUUGGGACUGAGACACGGCCCAAACUCCUACGGGAGGCAGCAGUAGGGAAUCUUCCGCAAUGGGCGAAAGCCUGACGGAGCAAUGCCGCGUGAGUGAAGAAGGCCUUCGGGUCGUAAAACUCUGUUAUAAGAGAAGAACAAAUUGUAGAGUAACUGCUACAGUCUUGACGGUAUCUUAUCAGAAAGCCACGGCUAACUACGUGCCAGCAGCCGCGGUAA